rnacentral:tRNA from 1 species
AAUGAAGUGCCUGAUUAAAAGGAUUAUCUUGAUAGGGUAAAUAAUGUAAAAUUUUACCUUCAUUA